GAUCAUCCCUUUGGCAUAGGCAUCUUUGGAUUUGUGGAUUCCUUUACGAGAGAUACGGCAGUAGCGACUCCUUUAGAGCUUGAAGAUGAAGAUCUCCUCAUCACCUUCGUCCCACACAAUGCUGCUUUGAAUAGGCGCACCACCACUUUUGGCCCGCAAGUUUGGUUGGUGUACUUUGGAUUUCCUUAUGACUAUCAGACAGAGUUUUACAUCAACAAAUCUGUUGGGGGUUUUGGUGGUCUGAUCUCAUGGUAUAACACAAGACAAGACCGCAGGUAUGUCAUGCUUCAUGUCCAGCUAAUUCACAUGAGAUUGAUACCCAAGAGCUUCGUGGUUCGUCAACUUGGUGGAGCUUGUGAUUGUUGGACUGUUCAAGUCACCAUACUUCGCAGUAGUGACUGGAAUGCGCAUUUACCUGAAAUCCCACCUGCUGGAGGAGAGCCACCGCCCCCCAAUGGCGACCCACAUCCCCAGUUCGGCCCUAAG
rnacentral:rRNA from 1 species